AGACGAACCGAGCCACGGCGCCGCCUUUCAGGUAACAAAACUGUCUAUUACUGAAGAGGAUCAAGUUUACUCCGUUCUUCAUUUGGCAGCUGGAGGUAGCUGAAGUGGUAAAACAGCUGAGUGAUAGAAUUAUUCUUAAUUGAUCUUAAGAAAAUCAGUGUUAAGAGCCAAAAUUCUGGAUCUUUGUACCAGGAGAUACAACAGGCCCUGGAACUGGUCCUGACUGAGCUGUGCUGAGAACCAAGAGAAACAUCACAACUUCAUCCCUUAACCUUCUCAAUGUUGAAAAAUAGCGUUAGAAAACACUGACAGCUUGCUCUAUCAAACUGUUACCAUGCUCAUUGUAUCUGUUGUAGUUUCCAUGGUAACAGACAACAUUACUUUUGGAGCAACCCAUGUAUAAUAGAACAGCUUGUUCUAUAAGGAAAAAAUUACUAAGAUACUAAGAUUAUUUUGUUCUGGUUUUGCUUUUGGCAACUAAAUUAAAUUCCUUUAUUCAAAAACCAAAGGAGAAAUUUGCAGCCUUUAUGUCAUAGAAGGAGUAUUAUAGGCACCUCUACAGUAUGCCUGGUGAGAGUAAAUUCAAGUCACUUGUGUCAUUGACCCUCACCUUUAGGACUUCUCUCUUGCAUCUUAACGCCACAUGAAAAAAAACAAUUAGGAGUUUUGAACUGAGAUGUGGCCUGCAAUUAUCUUCUACUGUUGUUCUAGGAGACUUUGGGAUGGAAAAAACAUCCUGUGAAUGACUCAGCAAUAGGAAAAGAAGUCUGAAAGAUUAAGUUGCCUUCAGUGAGGGAGCAGCGAGAAGUCCUGUCUAAUUCUGUAUGAGCCAUAUUCAUUCUAGGUAGCAGCAGCUCACUACUGAAAUAUCUGAGACAAACCUUAGAAAAUGUUUGCUAUGCACUGCCUACAGACAAACAGUUUGAAGAGAAUCAGAGGGGCUGUCGACUAGCUCUGAAUUCCAAGGAGCUCAUUUUCUGCAUUUGAAAAUCAGAAAAAAGUAAAAUGCCUGUUACCACUAGCUGCAAUCUGAUUUAUAAUCUUGCAUAAGUUAAACUUGUAAGCAGCAGAAAAGCCUGAAAUUUAAACAGUGGAGAACUUCCAAAGAGGAGCUGGAGAAGCACCUAGAAAACCAACAUUACAGGAAGACAUCAGUGAAGAUGUUAUUGUCUUCAUAGCACUUAGGCAUGGAUCAAGACAGGUACAGAAAUUGUGACUGGACCUAUUUAGUCAUUCAGGUGCUUGAAUUCUCAGCAUCACUGUACCAUGUGAGCAAUUCUGAAGGGAAGUAGAGAAGUAUUGUCACCCGUUGCCAUGAGAGAACUAAAACACUGUUAAGCAAUUUAAUUGAAGGCAUGGAGGAAGGCUUGGAGGUGUGAGUUAUUCUAUGAUUCUAUAGGCCUGCUGAAGCUUGCGAAUAAUGCUCUCAGACAUACAAUUUGAAUUUUUAGUGGUCCUGCGUGGAGCCAGGAGUUGGACCCAAUGAUCCUUGUGAGUCCCUUCCAACUUGGGAUAUUUGUGAUUCUGUGAUUCCAUAAUUCCAUGAUUCUACAAUUCUGUCUCUGUCUUCUGAGAAUCAUUCCUCUAUCUGAUUGGAAGGCCAUUCUUCCUUGUCUUUGUCAACUCAUCAAAAACUCAUCUCAACCAAUGCAACAAGCGGGCUUAGAAUAUGAGUAGCCUAUGAUUUGCAAGAGCCCAGUGGAGGGAACAAGUCAAGGCAGAAGCUUAGAAGUAGCAAUCUGGAAUAAAUGGGUUAAAAGAAGAAUUGAUUUAUUGGUGUAAGUAUCCUAUUUUCUUGUCAGAAUAUCCUUUUGUACUAUCUGGAACAAAUAUCACUGCUUGUCAUCCAUCCCAACAAGAAUAGUUAAUCUUUGAUUAAUACUGCAUCUCUUAAACCAGCCAUUGGCAUCUCCAUGGCUCCCGAAUACUAGACCAUAGUACAUGAGCCGUCAGUACACAGCAGUUUUAAUAGAUUUUCCAUAGUAAUCCUUCUGUUGGUUUUCAGAUCCCAGCCACCUAAGGAAAUAAAUUGUAUCAGCAGAAUAGUGCAAAUAAAGCUACCGGGAUGUGUCAGAAAGCUGCCAGUAGGCAUUAGGAACCAGCUUACUAAACUGAUCAAGAACUUUAAAACUUCAUUCUGCUGGGGACAAAAUAGAAAUAGAUUGCCCUUCUUGUUUCAUUUGCAGCCACGAGGAACGUGCUUCCUUGUUUGUACACCCAUGUUGCUAAUUGGUAUCUCCAAAAAUUCCAGCUCCUGCUAAAAAAUAAAACCUUAAUGCUAUCUCCUCUUCAUCAUACAUGGUCAGGUCUCCUACCCGGUACCUCAGGAUGCCUGCAUCAGCACUUUUUUUUUUCUGUGCUAGUCUUGCUGACUUCUACCUUUAGACAGCAACUGACAAAAAGCUAGCUACCACCAGGUGAUGGUAUGUUCAUUACUGACAAGCAGCAUGUGCUGCCAGGGGCUCCUCUUAAAACUGGUUAUGAAUCUUCUAAAGUAACAUUGCUUAUUAGAAAAAACUAAUUCUAUGAAACUAACCCUGGUAGUGAGAAAGAGCAGCUUUUCAUAAAUUGACUUUGUAAAAGUCUGGGGAAAAAAAAAUGCAGUUAUGAUAGUUGAAGUUAAUAUUUUCAAAAUAAAUCCUUGUUUUACAUGU
ensembl:lncRNA